UACGUAGGGCGCAAGCGUUGUCCGGAAUUAUUGGGCGUAAAGAGUUCGUAGGCGGCGCAGAAAGUGGGGUGUGAAAGCCCUCGGCUCAACCGAGGAAUUGCGCUCCAAACUACUGUGCUCGAGGGACCUAGAGGUGAGCAGAACUGAUGGUGGAGCGGUGAAAUGCGUUGAUAUCAUCAGGAAUACCGGAGGCGAAGGCGGCUCACUGGGGGUCCUCUGACGCUGAGGAACGAAAGCCAGGGGAGCGAACGGG
rnacentral:rRNA from 1 species